GUUUGGAUGGGAGGCAAAUCGCGCGUGAGUCGGAAGCAGUAGAAUACUUUAAAUAUCACGACAGACUUAUUAAAAAUGAAAUGAAUCAAAAAAAAUACUGGAUACCAACAACAUGGUGCAAACAAUAUUGUAAUUCUCUUGAAUUAGAUUCAAAUCAGCAUACCACCACCGUCGUAUCAAAAUCAUCAAAAGAUCCUAAUUAGUUGUACUGCAUAUUAUUAAAUUAAUUACCUUUCAUUAUAUUUUAACAUAAAUAAUAAUAAAAAAAACCGACGAAAUCAUUUCUAUUGAAU